CUUUAUGAUGAAUAAGAGUUUUACUCGAAAUAACCCAGCUCGUCGAAUGUCUCAAAUUUUUUUUCCAACGUAGAGGCAUCAUGAGAUUACGUCCCGUCUGAUUUA
rnacentral:snoRNA from 1 species